AAAAAAAAAAAAGAAGAAAAAAAAAAUCAAACCAUACAUAAGGUGGAAAAGCCAACAGACAGGUGGUAAAGAAGGGCAGAGUCAUACUAAUUCAUAAGAGAAUGAAGAGGGAAGGAAAUGAGAAAUACUGACACCAAGAACAACAGUAACAAGCAAUGAUAAGUAAAACAAGCUAGACACCUGGGCAAUUAACCAGAGAAGAGAACUGCUAAUAGAGCAUGUUAAACUAAGUAAAAAAACUGGUGGAGUAACAACCAGGGCUGAAGCACAAGUCCUGAAGGAGACACAUGGUUCAGGGAAUACAGACAUUAUGCAACAACACUGAUGGAAGAGAACCUGAUUCAAUCAAAACAAAAGUUUUGGAUAAGGACAUUGAGAAGGGCAUUGCUGAUUGACCCAGGUCUGGUCUGAGGAAAGGAGUCUAUGGCAAUUGAUGGACUUAUCAAACGUUACUGCCUAAAGUGCGUGGUGGGAUAAACAACAAAGACUUUUUUUUUUUAAAUAAAAAGGUUGUUCAUACCUAGAAAACAAAUUUUAGAAGACAAAAGAAAACAAAUAAACCUAAAAUAUAUCUACACACAGAAUACAAUAGAAACUGUGGAAAGACACUUUCAGAAGCAAAAAGCUUCAGAAGUAAGUUCAAACUACUGAAAUGAGAAUAAAGAUUUCAGGCAUAGUGAAACUA